GACGAACGCUGGCGGCGUGCUUAACACAUGCAAGUCGAACGGUAAGGCCCUUCGGGGUACACGAGUGGCGAACGGGUGAGUAACACGUGGGUGAUCUGCCCUGCACUUUGGGAUAAGCCUGGGAAACUGGGUCUAAUACCGGAUAGGACCACGGCCUGCAGGGGUUGUGGUGGAAAGCUUUUGCGGUGUGGGAUGGGCCCGCGGCCUAUCAGCUUGUUGGUGGGGUGAUGGCCUACCAAGGCGACGACGGGUAGCCGGCCUGAGAGGGUGUCCGGCCACACUGGGACUGAGAUACGGCCCAGACUCCUACGGGAGGCAGCAGUGGGGAAUAUUGCACAAUGGGCGCAAGCCUGAUGCAGCGACGCCGCGUGGGGGAUGACGGCCUUCGGGUUGUAAACCUCUUUCACCAGGGACGAAGCGCAAGUGACGGUACCUGGAGAAGAAGCACCGGCCAACUACGUGCCAGCCGCCGCAGUAA
rnacentral:rRNA from 1 species